rnacentral:misc_RNA from 1 species
AACGCAUCUUGCGCCCUGUGGUAUUCCACAGGGCACGCCUGUUUGAGUGUCACGUUAAUCUAUCACCCUUGGACUGUUAACGCGGUUCAUGUCGGUGGAUUUGGGUGCUGCCGUCGUUGGCUCGCCUUGAAAUGCGUUAGCUCUUGGCUCCCGUGCGGGGUUGUCGCGGUGUGAUAGUUCUUUGCAUCGUUUUGGACCUUGUGCUGGCCGGGGCUCACAGUCGUCUUCGGACAAUUAUUCGAACCUAGACCUCAAAUCAGGUGGGACUACCCGCUGAACUUAA